rnacentral:tRNA from 1 species
GGCGAAGUGGUGGAAUUGGUAGACACGGUCAGUUGCCAACUGACCGCCCACGGGCGUGCGGGUUCGAGUCCCGCCUUAUUCA